CCUGAACUAAAACCUGUGCCAAUCUUCCUCUGUUGUAUGUGGGAUGCCACCAUAGUAUGGCUUGACAGUGGUGCUAGGUUUGCGUCUAGGAUCCAAAACUGCAAACCCCAGCCCACCAAAGCAGAGCGUGCAAUCUCAACCACUACUCUACAGGUCCAGCCCUGAAUUGCAUUUCUUUCUAACAGUCUUUCACCAGAGGUAGUUUGCAAAAUGCUGGUUUAGAAUAAAAUCAGAGCCAUACUCCACGUCACUGACGGCAAAAGGGUCAGGCCCAUCCUGGUGGCACUGUGGUUUGAAGUUUUUUGGAAAUUUACAGUGUAACUUCGCAGUUAAUGGUGAGUCCUACUGAGCCUGGACCUGAAGUGUCUCGGUGUGUUUUUGCAUCCCCCUUAAUUAUGUCAUUGCCAUACGAUGAGAGACACAUGAAACCCAGCGCAACUCAGCCUACAUCGCUGACCUCCAACUAACUCACAGGUAUGCAUGGAACGCUUACCAAUACAAAACCCUAUGCUGGAUCAUAAGAAAGCCUCAACUAAUUUCAACAGCUUGGAAUCAUGCAAAGAACU
rnacentral:lncRNA from 1 species